rnacentral:rRNA from 1 species
UACGGAGGGGGCAAGCGUUAUUCGGAAUUAUUGGGCGUAAAGGGCGCGUAGGCGGCUAGAUGUGUCAAAGGUGAAAUCCCUCGGCUCAACUGAGGAACUGCCUUUGAAACUGUCUGGCUUGAGGCCGGGAGAGGGUAGCGGAAUUCCCAGUGUAGCGGUGAAAUGCGUAGAUAUCCGGAGGAACACCGGUGGCGAAGGCGGCUUCCUGGACCGACACUGACGCUGAGGCGCGAAAGCUAGGGGAGCAAACGGG